rnacentral:rRNA from 1 species
AGGAAGAUUAAUACCCCAUAAUAUAUUGAAUGGCAUCAUUCGAUAUUGAAAACUCCGGUGGAUAGAGAUGGGCACGCGCAAGAUUAGAUAGUUGGUGAGGUAACGGCUCACCAAGUCUACGAUCUUUAGGGGGCCUGAGAGGGUGAUCCCCCACACUGGUACUGAGACACGGACCAGACUCCUACGGGAGGCAGCAGUGAGGAAUAUUGGACAAUGGGUGAGAGCCUGAUCCAGCCAUCCCGCGUGAAGGACGACGGCCCUAUGGGUUGUAAACUUCUUUUGUAUAGGGAUAAACCUACUCUCGUGAGAGUAGCUGAAGGUACUAUACGAAUAAGCACCGGCUAACUCCGUGCCAGCAGCCGCGGUAAUACGGAGGGUGCAAGCGUUAUCCGGAUUUAUUGGGUUUAAAGGGUCCGUAGGCGGAUCUGUAAGUCAGUGGUGAAAUCUCACAGCUUAACUGUGAAACUGCCAUUGAUACUGCAGGUCUUGAGUGUUAUUGAAGUAGCUGGAAUAAGUAGUGUAGCGGUGAAAUGCAUAGAUAUUACUUAGAACACCAAUUGCGAAGGCAGGUUACUAAGCAACAACUGACGCUGAUGGACGAAAGCGUGGGGAGCGAACAGGAUUAGAUACCCUGGUAGUCCACGCCGUAAACGAUGCUAACUCGUUUUUGGGUUUUCGGAUUCAGAGACUAAGCGAAAGUGAUAAGUUAGCCACCUGGGGAGUACGUUCGCAAGAAUGAAACUCAAAGGAAUUGACGGGGGCCCGCACAAGCGGUGGAUUAUGUGGUUUAAUUCGAUGAUACGCGAGGAACCUUACCAAGGCUUAAAUGGGAAAUGACAGGUUUAGAAAUAGACUUUUCUUCGGACAUUUUUCAAGGUGCUGCAUGGUUGUCGUCAGCUCGUGCCGUGAGGUGUUAGGUUAAGUCCUGCAACGAGCGCAACCCCUGUCACUAGUUGCCAUCAUUAAGUUGGGGACUCUAGUGAGACUGCCUACGCAAGUAGAGAGGAAGGUGGGGAUGACGUCAAAUCAUCACGGCCCUUACGCCUUGGGCCACACACGUAAUACAAUGGCCGGUACAGAGGGCAGCUACACAGCGAUGUGAUGCAAAUCUCGAAAGCCGGUCUCAGUUCGGAUUGGAGUCUGCAACUCGACUCUAUGAAGCUGGAAUCGCUAGUAAUCGCGCAUCAGCCA